GCCCUCGUUGUCUAAUGGUUAUGACGUCAGACUUCUAAUCUGGAGGUUGCGAGUUCGAGUCUCGCCGGGGGUA
rfam:Coprinopsis cinerea okayama7#130 chromosome 5 cont3.5, whole genome shotgun sequence.